AAAUAGUUUUAAAUAUUAAGGGUAUUGGGUAUUUCUUAAAAGUAAUUUUGUGUUCUUUAUUUUUUAUUAAUAGUUUUAGAAAAAAUGUUUUGUUUGAACUGUGAGGGUUUUAUUAUAAUUUUUGGUAAAGUAAUGUUGGUUGUACCUUUUGUAUCAGGGUUUAUUAAAUUUAAAAAUUUAUUUUUAUUUCCCGAAGGGAAGAGAGUUAUAUGGCUAGUUCUUUUUUAUAGCAAUAAAGAAGGUAAUAGUUAUUUAUAGUAAUGAGAUGUUAAACGUUCUUCCGGUUAUCUGGUUACUGUAGAAAUUUAAGGAGGCGUUAUUUUUAGCAGAAAGUUUAUUAGGGAUAAGCUUAAUGAGCUAUAUCUAUAUAAAGGUUAAAAUUUAAAAUAUUUUAGGUUUAGAAGUGGCUAUGGGUUUUAUAACCAAUAGUAUUUUUAUCAAAUUAGUGAUUUAUACAGAGGUACUAAUAAAUUUUUAUUAAUAAUAAUAAUGGUAAAAUUAGUAGAUUAGUGUAUAGAUGAGAUAUUAAGUUAUGAAUGAAAAGGUAAUUUUAAAUUUAGAUUUUACUAAGGAACUCGGCAAAACUAUUCUUCAACUGUUUAUCAAAAACAUUUCUUUAAGGAAGGAUUUAAAGUAUAUUCUGCCCCCUGAUUUUUUAAUUUAAUGGCCGCAGUAGCCUGACUGUGCUAAGGUAGCAUAAUCAUUAGGUUCUUAAUUGGGAUCUGGAAUGAAUGGAUGAAUGGGGAAUGACUGUCUAGUAAGAUAAUUUGAAUUUAAAUUUUUAGUAAGAAUGCUAGAAUUGAAUUAUGGGACGAUAAGACCCUAUAAAGCUUUACUACUAUAUUAAUGUAAAUUUUUACUAGUUUUAUUAGUAUUAGUUAGUUUUACUGGGGCGGUAGCUAUAUUAAACUUAGUUUAAUUUUAGUAAUUGAAGAUCCAUUAUUAAUGAAAUAAGAUAAAGUUACUUUAGGGAUAACAGCAUAAUACAUUUUUGGAGUUCUAAUCGAAGAGUGUGUUUAUGACCUCGAUGUUGAAUUAAUUUAAUUCUAAGGUGUAGAAGCUUUAGGAAUUAGUCUGUUCGACUAUUAAAUAAUUACGUGAUUUGAGUUCAAACCGGUUUAAGCCAGGUUG
rnacentral:rRNA from 1 species